GACGAACGCUGGCGGCGUGCCUAACACAUGCAAGUCGAACGAGGUCCAUGAGAGCUUGCUCUCGGAAGACCUAGUGGCGAACGGGUGAGUAACACGUGAGGAAUCUGCCCCGGACUCUGGGAUAACUCGAGGAAACUCGAGCUAAUACCGGAUGCCCUCCUCGGGUCGCAUUGCCUGAUGAGGAAAGUUUUUCGGUCUGGGAGGACAUGGCGGCCUAUCAGCUAGUUGGUGAGGUAACGGCUCACCAAGGCUACGACGGGUAGCUGGUUUGAGAGAAUGAUCAGCCACACGGGGAAUGAGACACGGCCCAGACUCCGACGGGAGGCAACAGUGGGGAAUCUUGCGCAAUGGGCGAAGGCUUGACGCAGCAACGCCGCGUGCGGGAUGACGGCCUUCGGGUUGUAAACCGCUUUCAGCAGGGACGAAAAUGACGGUACCUGCAGAAGAAGCUCCGGCUAACUACGUGCCAGCAGCCGCCGUAAAAC
rnacentral:rRNA from 1 species